rnacentral:rRNA from 1 species
UACGUAGGGGGCUAGCGUUGUCCGGAUUUAUUGGGCGUAAAGAGCGUGUAGGCGGCCAGGUAGGUCUGCUGUGAAAACUCGAGGCUCAACCUCGAGAUGUCGGCGGAAACCAUCUGGCUAGAGUCCGGAAGAGGAAAGUGGAAUUCCUGGUGUAGCGGUGAAAUGCGCAGAUAUCAGGAAGAACACCUAUGGCGAAGGCAGCUCUCUGGGACGGUACUGACGCUGAGACGCGAAAGCGUGGGGAGCGAACAGG